rnacentral:rRNA from 1 species
CUGGCGGCGUGCCUAACACAUGCAAGUCGAGCGGAGAUGAUGUGAGGAAGUUUUCGGAUGGAAUCACAUUAUUUUAGCGGCGGACGGGUGAGUAACGCGUGAGCGACCAACCUUGCACAGGGGGAUAACGGACCGAAAGGUUCACUAAUACCGCAUGAGACCACAGUGUUGCAUGACACAGGGGUCAAAGGAGCAAUCCGGUGCAAGACGGGCUCGCGUCCGAUUAGGUAGUUGGUGGGGUAACGGCCCACCAAGCCUAUGAUCGGUAGCCGACCUGAGAGGGUGAUCGGCCACAUUGGAACUGAGAUACGGUCCAAACUCCUACGGGAGGCAGCAGUGGGGAAUAUUGGGCAAUGGGGGAAACCCUGACCCAGCAACGCCACGUGAAGGAAGAAGGUUUUCGGAUUGUAAACUUCUGUCCUUGGUGAAGAGAAGAAGACGGUAGCCAAGGAGGAAGCCCCGGCUAACUACGUGCCAGCAGCGGC